CAGGAACUCAAGACACAGAAAGGCCAAGUAAUUUGUCCAACUUCAUAUGCUAGACUGGAAGAAGGAGCCCAGCCUCAAGUCAGGAAAAGGAGGAAAGAGAACACCUGACAUUUGCCACUGAGGUGGAAUAAAGGAAUCGUCUUCGUCUUUACAGUUUUAGAAAUGAAGAAAUGAAUCUUAGAGAGCUUAAAGUGAGUCGUCCAAAGAAGCACAACUAGUAAUUGGAAGAUCGGUUAUGUCAACUAAGGCCUAUCUGACCUCAGAGUCCACUGCCUCAGACACACAAUGUCAUAAUGAAUGCUACUCCAUGGAGGAAAUUAUGUGGAUAAAGAGAAAUGAUCUGGCUAAGCAUGUUUUGAACGGUUAUAAAUUCAUAUUCACAUAUGUUGUGAUAUAUGCACAUACGUAUAUAUAAAUGUAGAUAUACGAGAUAUAUAUGGAUAUAUGGAUAUAUAGAUAGACCCCCAUUUAGCACUGUCCCAUGCAACCCAGAUUAGUUCUAACAUUAUUUAGUUCUAAAUCAAUUUCUUGAUACCAGUGGUUUUUAAAAUGUGCCACUGAGGUCAGCAGUCAGUCUCGGCAUCACUUGGGGACUUGGUAGAUCAGAAAUGCAGAUUCUAGAGCCCCACCCCACACUACUGAAUCAAGAACUCAGGGAGUAAGACUCAGU
rnacentral:lncRNA from 1 species